GGCCAUAUCACAUUAAAAAACACCAGUUCCUGUACAAUCACCGAAGUUAAGCAACAUUGAGAAGGUCAGUACCUAGAUGGGUGACUACUUGGGAAUACCAAGUGCUGUU